UUUCUGACUGCCCUUAACAUUUUUUCCUUCAUUUCAACCUUGGUGAAUCUGAUUAUAUGUCUUGGGGUUGCUCUUCUCGAGGAAUAUCUUUGUGGCGUUCUCUGUAUUUCCUGAAUUUGAAUGUUGGCCUGUCUUGCUAGACUGGGGAAGUUCUCCUGGAUAGUAUCCUGAAGAGUGUUUUCCAACUUGGUUCCAUUCUCCCUGUCACUAUGAGGCACACCAAUCAAACAUAAGUUUGGUCUUUCCACAUAGUCCCAUAUUUCUUGGAGUCUUUGUUUGUUCCUUUUCAUUCUUUUUCUCUAAUCUCAUUUUCACACUUUAUUUCAUUAAGUUGAUCUUCAAUGUCUGACAUCCUUUCUUCCACUUGAUCAGUUCAGCUAUUGAUACUUGUAUAUGCUUCAUGAAGUUUUUCAUGAGUUUUUCAGCUCCAUCAGGUCAUUUAUGUUCUUCUCCAAACUGGUUAUUCUAGUUAGCAAUUCCUUUAACCUUUUUUCAAGGUUCUUAGCUUCUUUGCAUUGGGUUAGAACACAUUCCUUUAGCUCAGAGGAGUUUGUUAUUACCCACCUUCUGAAGCCUACUUCUGUCAAACUCAUUCUCCAUCCAGUUUUGUUCCCUUGCUGGUGAGGAGUUGUGAUCCUUUAGAGGUGAAGAGGCAUUCUGGCUUUUGGAGUUUUCAGCCUUUUUGUACUGGUUUUUCCUCAUCUUCAUGGCUUUAUCUACCUUUGUUCUUUGAUGUUGGUGACCUUUGGAUGGGGUUUUUGUGUGGGCAUUCUUUUUGUUGAUGUUGAUGCUAUUCCAUUCUGUUAGUUUUCCUUCUAACAGUCAGGCCCCUUUGCUGCAGGUCUGCUGGAGUUUGCUGGAGGUCCACUCCAGACCCUGUCUGGGUAUCACUAGUGGAGGCUGCAGAACAGGAAAGAUUGUUGGCUGUUCCUUCUUCUGGAAGCUUCAUCCCAGAGGGGCACCCUCCAGAUGCCAGCCAGAGCUCUCUUGUAUGAGGUGUCUGUCGAUCCGUGCUGGGAGGUGUCUCCCAGUCAGGAGGCAUGGGGGUCAGGGACCCACUUUAGGAGGCAGUCUGACCCUUAGCAGAGCUUGAGCACUGUGCUGGGAGAUCUGCUGCUCUUUUCAGAGCUGGCAGGCAGGAAGGUUUGUCUGCUGAAGCUGAGCCCAUAGCCAACCCUUCUCCCAGGUGCUCUGUCCCAGGGAGAUGGAAGUUUUAUCUAUAAGCCCCUGACUGGGGCUACUGCCUUUCUUUCAGAGAUGCCCUGCCCAGAGAGGAGGAAUCUAGAGAGGCAGUCUGGCUACAGUGGCUUUGCUGAGCUCUGGUGGGCUCUGCCAAGUUCAGUGGCUUUGUUUACUUCCUGGUGGCUUUGUUUACACUGUGAGGGGAAAACCACCUGCUCAGGCCUUAGUAAUGGCAGACACCCCUCCCCCUACCAAGCUCGAGCAUCCCAGGUGGACUUCAGACUGCUAUGCUGGCAGUGAGAAUUUCAAGCCAGUGGAUCUUAGCUUGCUGGGCUUCAUGGGGGUGGGAUCCGUGGAGCUAGACCACUUGGCUCCCUGGCUUCAGCCCCUUUCCAGGGUAGUCAACAUUUCUGUCUCACUGGCAUUCCAGGUGCCACUGGGGUAUGAAAAAAAAAUCCUGCAGCUAGUUUAGUGUCUGCCCAAACAGCUGCUCGGUUUUGUGCUUGAAACCCAGGGCCCUGGUGGUAUAGGCACCCAAGGGAAUCUCCUGGUCUGCGCGUUGCCAAUACUGUGGGAAAAGCAUAGCAUCUGGGCCAGAAUGCAUCAUUCCUCACAUCAUAGUCUCUCACAGCUUCCCUUGGCUAGGGGAGGGAGUUCCCUGACCCCUUGUGCUUCCCAGGUGAGGAGAUGCCCCAUCGUGCUUUGGCUUGCCUUCUGUGGGCUGCGCCCAACUGUCUAACCAGUCCCAAUGAGAUGAGCUGGGUACCUCAGUUGGAAAUGCAGAAAUCACCCACUUUCUGCAGGGAUCUCACUGGGAGCUACAGACCAGAGCUAUUCCUAUUCAGCCAUCUUGACAGCCAGCAAGAAGUAACCAACUUUCUUAGUCAAUUUUGGCUUUAAUAGUGACUGUCCUAAGAUUUUUUUGUCACUCACAGACAAUUGUCUUGUUUUGAUCCUCUUUAAAAUGUGGUUUAUAAUCAGCUAUAGGACUUUGACAGAUGUUCCUGAAUGCAGGUUUCUGAUAACUUUGGAGACUGUGACAUUAAAAUAGGGAAAAAAAACUUUUAGAACUCUCCUGGAGAGCUGAAAUGUUCAUGAAUAUCAAACAGAAUAAGAGGUAACUGCAUGGACUGAUCUAAUAGAAAACUGAAGUAAUCUUUUUGAAAAUUUUUGCUUGAAAUGCUGAGGAUCCUUUGUUUUGUUUUCCAGAGUCAAGGAAACUUUUCUUUUGAGCUAUAUACAGCUUUCAACAAUUGAGAAAGGAUGCAAUUGGAGAAACUGCUUAAUUUACCAAGGCUUUGACUGGAAUGGCAUGCUUUCCUUUUAAGAAUCAAAGUUGACUUAUAGAGCCAAUAAAAGCCCCUUGGAAAAUUGGCCUCAUACAUUGUCUGCAUAGUCCCUGUACAGGGUUUCCAACCUGUGGUCCCUUUAAUUAACUCAGACCUGGAUGACAUAAAAUGAAGUUUCUGAAGAAGUUCAGGUCAAAGGUUCCUGAAACACAAGGCUCAGUGUGUACCCUGGAUGGGAAAAUGAACUGGUGUUGACAUAUAUGCAUGCCCAGGAGGAAGACUGGGAAAGACUUAAUGAGUUGGGGUAUGCGGAGAAACAAUGAAAUAUUGAAAACUGCCUAUAUAAAAAUCACUGUUGGGCAUAUGCAUUAAAAAACAAUAUGUUAUUGCAAAUUUAACACUAAAAUUAUUUUCCCAAACAGAAGAUAUUGUCUAAGGAAGAAUAAAAUGCUG